rnacentral:rRNA from 1 species
CCUGAACGCUGGCGGCGUGGCUAAGACAUGCAAGUCGCACGGGACCCGCAAGGGUUCAGUGGCGCACGGGUGAGUAAUGUAUCGCUAAUGUACCCCUGAGCCUGGGAUAGCUGACCGAAAGGUCAGGUAAUACCAGAUGAAAUAACCAGAUCGCAUGAUCAGGUUCUCAAAGCCGCAAGGCACUCUAGGAGCAGGCGAUAUCGUAUCAGCNGUUGGUGAGGUAACGGCUCACCAAGGCGACGACGCGUAGCUGGUCUGAGAGGACGGCCAGCCACAUCGGGACUGAGACAC